AGGAGUCAGGGGUGGAGUUUUCUAAGGAAUCUGACCAUUCAGAGGGUUUAAAUUUUUUAAAUGACCAUUCCUUUACAAUUUUUCAUUUCUCUUUUAUAGAAGUACAACGUAUACAUAAAUUGUCACCUUGAUGAAUUAUCACAAAGUGAACAUACUUGUGUAACCACCACCCAAGUCAAGAAAGAGGACAUUUCCAGUCCCUAGAGUUGCCCUUGUGUCCCUUCCAGCCACACCUACUUCCUUCCUCUUGAAAAAUGACCCUUAUCUUUACUUGUAGACCAUGAGUUAUUUUUGUCUGUCCUUGAACAUUACAUUAAUAGAUGGUAUGAAAUAUGUACUCUGUGUUUUUAUUUUCUUGGAUUCUUUCAUUGGACCUGAAGUUUAUGAGAUUGAUCCAUGUUGUAUGUUGUGACUUUGUUCAUUUUCAUUGUCAUGUAUAUUCCACUGUGUGAAUGCACCACAACGCACUAAUUCAAACUCUUUGACCCAGCACUCCCACUCCUGGGAACCCCCCCUAUAGCAGUACCCUCUGGUGAGCACAGAGAUGGAUGUGCAAGGAUGUCCCCAGCGUGCAUUCCACCACUUCCCUUUUCUGCUCUCAUGACAGACUGGGCUUUCUCACAAAGCCCUGUGCAGCCUUCAAAUCUUUUUCAAUCAGGAUGGAACUGUUCUUGAAAUUCAUUUGCUAUCCCUGGAUUAAGCUGCACCUAGGAGUUAAUAAUUCUUUAAACAGUUUCUGAUUUUAGGGAGAUGUUAGCCAUUUGUUGAUAUCUGCACUUGCCCUUUUAUUAAAGAUCUAUGUUUCUGAGGAAAAUGAGGCUGGACUAUCUUUCUUUCCUCUCCCAAUGACAGAGGAAGGCCUGAUGACUGGGUUUCACUGUACAAAUAUCAGACAUCCCGUGUACCCAAGCCUGGAGGCCCAGUGCUGGAGCGAAAAGCAGGGCUCCUUUUGGCUGACAUCAAAACUGCACAGGGGCUCAGAUUCAAGAGCGGAUGAGCAGUGGAUAGAGGGCAUACAGGUCCCGGCAGAGCACAGAGAACUCAUCCCGCACCAGGAGCUCACCCUCCUCAGCUUCCGCCUUGGCCUCCAGGCGCAGCUGCUCUUCCUCAGCCACCACCUUUCCCGCCCGCUUGCGCAGUCGUGCAAUGGUCGGGAUGAAGUGGGAAUGCAGGAGCUCUGGCCUGGCCCGGCUCACGAU